rnacentral:rRNA from 1 species
GACGAACGCUGGCGGCGUGCUUAACACAUGCAAGUCGAACGGAAAGGCCCUGCUUUUGUGGGGUGCUCGAGUGGCGAACGGGUGAGUAACACGUGAGUAACCUGCCCUUGACUUUGGGAUAACUUCAGGAAACUGGGGCUAAUACCGGAUAGGAGCUCCUGCUGCAUGGUGGGGGUAGGAAAGUUUCGGCGGUUGGGGAUGGACUCGCGGCUUAUCAGCUUGUUGGUGGGGUAGUGGCUUACCAAGGCUUUGACGGGUAGCCGGCCUGAGAGGGUGACCGGCCACAUUGGUACUGCGAUACGGCCCAGACGCCUACGGUAGGCAGCAGGGGGGAAUAUUGCACAAUGGGCGGAAGCCUGAGGUAGCAACGCCGCGUGCGGAAUGACGGCCUUCGGGUUGUAAACCGCUGUCGCCUGUGACGAAGCGUGAGUGACGGUAAUUGGUAAAGAAGCACCGGCUAACUACGUG